GCUUUAAAAAUAAAAGGGGCGCUGAGGCAGGAGGAUCGCUUGAGCCCAGGAGUUCUGGGCUGUAGUGCGCUAUGCCGAUCGGGUGUCCGCACUAAGUUCGGCAUCAAUAUGGUGACCUCCCGGGAGCGGGGGACCACCAGGUUGCCUAAGGAGGGGUGAACUGGCCCAGGUGGGAAACGGAGCAGGUCAAAACUCCCGUGCUGAUCAGUAGUGGGAUCGCGCCUGUGAAUAGCCACUGCACUCCAGCCUGGGCAACAUAGCGAGACCCCGUCUCU
rnacentral:SRP_RNA from 1 species